AGCACUCUCUUCCCCUUCCAUCUAUCCAUACCAGUCUCACCCACCACUGCUUCCUUUCCCCUUUCGCCUCCAGGGGUUACCUCUUUUGGAUAAAUCCAAGUGUCUCCUUUGAACCAGAAAUAGCUUUGCUUCUCCUUUGCCUGGUUCUCCCUGGCAGAAGCAACCUCGUUUGGCAUCACCUAAUGGAGACUAUCAGGGUUAGAAAUGGCUCGAGGAGUGGGCUGCCUGCCGUGGGGACACAUCUGAACAGGAUUGCCCAGGGUCUUAGGCUGCAAAAAACCCACCUCAAAACCCAUUACACACUAAAGAGUGUUUGUUUUCUUGUGUAAGAGGGAAGCCUGGAGGUAGAGUGGUCCCAGCAUCAGCCAAUUUGGUUCCUUCACUCUUCAUCCUUGACAUUUUAGCUUGUUAUUUUGGUCAGUUACCUACUAAUAAAUACCCUUGACAGGAUGCCCAAUUGAGGCAUCACGUGCUUUCAGCAAAGACAAAAAUGAGAAUGUUUUCUGCCUGCCAUCUCUUUUUAUCAGUGGAGAAAAAUCUUUCUAGAAGACCCAUGUCUGGCUUCCCCCACCAUCUCAGUGGUUCCGGGCUGGGCCAGUAACCGUGACUACCCAUGUUAGCCCCAUGGCCCACGUGGCUAAGCCCUUCCCGUGUGCUCAUUAUUGCUCAACUCAUCCUAUGAAGCCCCGCUGAGAUGCUGCCUGCUCCCGACAGCCCUCUUGGAGCGGCCUCUUUGGAGUUAACCUCUCCUUUAUGUUUCCCUGGAGAUGUGUCUGCAAAAUGCUGCUAUGACAACCAGCUUCAAAUGAAGGAAUCAGGUUGCAGGAAUGAAUUGGAGAUGGUAAAUAUGGGGGAUUUUAUUGCCAAUGGAAGUGACUCUCAGGGGGAAAGGGACCUAAAAGGAAGAUGGAGCGGGAAGGUAAGCUUCCCCUGGAGUCCAGCCGGGGACUCUCUGAAGCUACAUCAUCAAGUGGGCCUCUGGAGUCAAGCUGCUUUUCUCCAAUAUCCAACUGUAGCCAUGUGGUCUUGCUCCAGAAAUGUGUGUGCUUCCUUCUGACUGGCCUGAUCUCUACUCAGCACCUCUUGUCUAGAAUUCAAGGCUUUUGUUUGCUUUUUAUUUCCUGCUUCCUCAGAGCUUCAGUGUUCGCCAGGCUCAACAUGGUCUCUCCAGGCAUGAGCUUUCAGCUGGGCAUUGUCAGAGAUGAACAUCUUAUCAUUUUCCAUGGAGCAAAUCAAUGGCCACCCUUCCUGGCUAAGAACCCUGGGUUUCAACUUCUCUCCCAGCAGAGGGGAAAUUCCUGA
rnacentral:lncRNA from 13 species